CCUACGGGCGGCAGCAGUCGAGAAUCAUUCACAAUGGGGGAAACCCUGAUGGUGCGACGCCGCGUGGGGGAAUGAAGGUCUUCGGAUUGUAAACCCCUGUCAUGUGGGAGCAAAUUAAAAAGAUCGUACCACAAGAGGAAGAGCCGGCUAACUCUGUGCCAGCAGCCGCGGUAAUACAGAGGUCUCAAGCGUUGUUCGGAUUCACUGGGCGUAAAGGGUGCGUAGGCAGUUUCGUAAGUCGUGUGUGAAAGGCGCGGGCUCAACCGGCGGACGGCACAUGAUACUGCGAGACUAGAGUAAUGGAGGGGGAACCGGAAUUCGCGGUGUAGCAGUGAAAUGCGUAGAUAUCGAGAGGAACACUCGUGGCGAAGGCGGGUUCCUGGACAGUAACUGACGCUGAGGCACGAAGGCCAGGGGAGCGAAAGGGAUUAGAUACCCCAGUAGUC
rnacentral:rRNA from 1 species